UACAGAGGGGGCAAGCGUUGUUCGGAAUUACUGGGCGUAAAGGGCGCGUAGGUGGCCUUCUUAGUCAGACGUGAAAUCCCCGGGCUUAACUCGGGAACUGCGUCUGAUACUGGAAGGCUGGAGUUCGGGAGAGGAAUGUGGAAUUCCAGGUGUAGCGGUGAAAUGCGUAGAUAUCUGGAGGAACACCGGUGGCGAAGGCGGCAUUCUGGACCGAAACUGACGCUGAGGCGCGAAAGCCAGGGGAGCAAACGGG
rnacentral:rRNA from 1 species